rnacentral:rRNA from 1 species
ACGGAAUAGAUACCCAGGUAGUCCACGCGGUAAACGAUGGAUACUAGGUGUAGCCGGAUUCGACCCUGGCUGUGCCGCAGCAAACGCAAUAAGUAUCCCGCCUGGGGAGUAUGGCCGCAAGGUUGAAACUCAAAGGAAUUGACGGGGGCCCGCACAAGCGGUGGAGGAUGUGGUUUAAUUCGACGCAACGCGAAGAACCUUACCAAGGCUUGACAUCCACAGGAGUUUGUAGAAAUACAGAUGUGCUCGAAAGAGAACUGUGAGACAGGUGGUGCAUGGCUGUCGUCAGCUCGUGUCGUGAGAUGUUGGGUUAAGUCCCGCAACGAGCGCAACCCUCGAUGCUAGUUACCAUCAUUAAGUUGGGGACUCUAGCGUGACUACCGGUGAUAAGCCGGAGGAAGGUGAGGACGACGUCAAGUCAUCAUGCCCCUUACGUCUUGGGCUACACACGUCCUACAAUGGUAUAGACAAAGGGCAGCAAGUUAGCGAUGACAAGCGAAUCCCAUAAACUAUAUCUCAGUUCGGA